AUUGAACGCUGGCGGCAUGCCUUACACAUGCAAGUCGAACGGCAGCACGGGUGCUUGCACCUGGUGGCGAGUGGCGAACGGGUGAGUAAUACAUCGGAACAUGUCCUGUAGUGGGGGAUAGCCCGGCGAAAGCCGGAUUAAUACCGCAUACGAUCUACGGAUGAAAGCGGGGGCCCGUCGGGCCUCGCGCUAUCGGGAUGGCCGAUGGCUGAUUAGCUAGUUGGUGGGGUAAAGGCCUACCAAGGCGACGAUCAGUAGCUGGUCUGAGAGGACGACCAGCCACACUGGAACUGAGACACGGCCCAGACUCCUACGGGAGGCAGCAGUGGGGAAUAUUGGACAAUGGGCGAAAGCCUGAUCCAGCAAUGCCGCGUGUGUGAAGAAGGCCUUCGGGUUGUAAAGCACUUUUGUCCGGAAAGAAAACCUUGACCCUAAUACGGUCGGGGGAUGACGGUACCGGAAGAAUAAGCACCGGCUAACUACGUG
rnacentral:rRNA from 1 species